GACGAACGCUGGCGGCGUGCCUAAUACAUGCAAGUAGGACGCAGUUGCGAACGGGUGAGUAACGCGUAGGUAACUACCUAUUAGAGGGGGAUAACUAUUGGAAACGAUAGCUAAUACCGCAUACUAGUAGAUGGACCUGCGUUGUAUUGGCUAGUAGGUAGGGUGAUGGCCUACCUAGGCAACGAUACAUAGCCGACGUGAGAGGGUGAUCGACCCCCAUGGGAAUGGGAAACGGCCCCAAACCCUACGGGAGGCAGCAGUAGGGAAUCUUCGGACAUGGGGGGAAACCUGACCGAGCAACGCCGCGGGAGGGAAGAAGGGUUUCGGAGCGUAAAGCUCUGUUGUUAAGGAAGCGGUACUUAACCAGAAAGGGACGGCUAACUACGUGCCAGCAGCCGCGGUAAUUC
rnacentral:rRNA from 1 species